GCCAGCAUGAUUUAGUUCCCAGGGUAAGUAAACUCCUCCUUUCUGGAUGAGAUGAAGCCUUGAGACAAUAAAAAUGUGCCCCUCCUCCAAUAUGUAGGUGAUAGUACCAGCUAAGCCAGAGAGGAGGGAUGAGGCCCCUUCUUGAUGACAUAGCCUUUUGGGAGAUGGACCAACAAGAAGGUGCUGAACCUGAUGAUGGGGAGCUGUGGGAAUGGGAGAGCCAGCAUCAGCCUCAUGUUGCCACUGUCAUCAUGGCGUAGCCUCUGCUGUCCUGAGAGCUCUCUGUGGAGCAACUCACCUGACUCUCACAACAGCACCAUGAGGAACUCAGGGUCAACACCAUCACCAUUUCCAGACAAUGAGUCCAAAAGAGAAGACUGGACUUCGGAGCUCAACAGGCCUGCACUGAAAUCCCAUCUGAAAUCUGCCACUGACCAGCCGUGACCUGGGGCACUAUCCCCACGUUACAGAGGAAACAGAGGAUACUCAAGGUGAUGUGACCUUCCCAAGAUGACUCAUGAUUUAGAAGAAUGGACUCUGACUCCCAGGCCAGUGCUCCAUCCACUGCAUCCUGGGCUUUCGGGGGAGCAGAGGUCCCAGAAUCCCCCACAUCCUGCCAGGGAGCCAGCUUCCUGAACAUGUGUCAUCAGGUGGGUCCCAGGAUGCUCAGAAGGGUGGGAACUCUGCCGAGGACACUGAGGGCAAGUGUCCCAGGAGGGGAGCUGAGCCAGAACAUCAUCCCUCACAUUCCCACUGGCCACUGUGCUUUAACAAAACCAUACUUUUAUUUCCAUCGCCAUAGAAUGCAUGCACACAUGCAUGAAUGAAUAAACUCAAAUACAUCAUUA
rnacentral:lncRNA from 1 species